rnacentral:snRNA from 1 species
UAAAUUACCAUGAUCACUUACCAUGAUCCUGAAGGUAGUUUUCUGAGAGUGAGGCUUAUCCAUGCACACCAGAUGUGCUGACACCUGCAAUUUUCCCACAUAUGGGAAACUUGACUGAAUAAUUUGUGGUAGUGGGGGACUGCGCUUGCACUCUCCCAUG